GUACCACUCUUUUUAACUGAUGGAGGCCAAGACAAUCUCCUAUCACUCGUGCCAUCAACUUGAUUAAAGUCGCUCAUUUCAUUACUUUCAUCACCCGCUUCUUGCCUCUCGAGUUCUUGUUUCCUUAGGCUUUUGGCUGCUAAGUCAUCAAAACUAGAUUCAUUUCUCCAAGGAGGAGUCACACAGUCUGAAUCUCUUGGUAGUCUAUGAGAAGGAUUAUUUCCUGGUGUUUCUGGCAAAGGGGAAACUAAAUGGCCGACUUUCAAAUUUUGGAGUGUAGCAAAUGAUUCUCUCAUGGCAGACAUUGCUUCAAAGAAUCGAGUACAGGAUGCUAAAGCAACAGGUAUAGGACGUAGCAUUUCCCCCCAUGCUGAAGGAGACUCCUUAAAGUUCUGACUCCACUGGAAAUCUGCAACAGAUGCUGUUAAGGCACCAUAAUCACUUGCAGCUUUCAUCAGUAAUUC
rnacentral:misc_RNA from 1 species